UGAUUCAAUAAAUUGUUUAUUAAAUAUUAUUUUCUCUAUUUUUAAACACAUUCAAAACAUCUUAAGGUGGGUAAUGCCGAUUAUAAAAAUAGUCUUUCACACGCGGAAAAUAUGUACUUAUAUUAGUUGUCAAAUGAUUUUUUUUUUUCGAACAAAAGAUAUUAUCUACACUAAGGGGGAGGGGGUGGGCUUAGCCUCACAAUAGGCUAGCAAUAAUAUGAUUCAAUCAGUUGUUUAUUAAAUAUUAUUUUCUCUAUUGUUAAUAUAAAUUCAAUAGAGACUGAUUUUAUUAUGUGGAUUCAACUACUUUAAUUGGUUUAUGAGGGGUUUUUUCUAGUAUGAUCUAAGAGUAUUCAUCUACCCAAAAUAUUUGACUUUUCUUUUGUCAAUUUACGCAUAUAAAUACAUUAAAAAUGUGUAAGCCGCGCGUAGCAUGCCGUAAUAUUACGUAGCUGUCACUUUUUCCAUUGAAAAAUAUAAUUUUGAGGAGAAGUUUUUGCUCAAACUUGGAAUUUUAUGAAAAGAGCUUCCUUUUUCUAGAUCCAUCCCCACAACAACGGUAGACAAAGACGCUAUGGAAAAAUUUACAAGUCAGUCAACAAAGAUUUUUUGAAAUACACGAUUGUAAUUUUGAUUCACCAACGCAACAAAGUGAAGUUAGUAUCUUUGAUUCACCAAGCCAUGAGAGGGAAAGCUUUGAAUUCGCCACCCAAUUGUUAUCAUUUUAAUUAACGUGGUAUUAUUAAUUGGUAUCAUUGAUUAUUUUUUGUGGGAUUAUUGAUUGAUACUAUUUUUUUUUUAGUCAAACGAUAGAUUUUGUUAGAUUAACUAAUGACGAAGUUUGAACCCACGUCGUCAUGUAAGAGUUCAAUAUCUUUCCACCAUUAUAGUAAAGGUCACUUGCAAUUUAUACGUUGAUUAUUUGUUUUACAUGCACCCAAUAAUUCUUUCAAAUAAUGUUUUUGUAACUCAAAAUCCCAUUUUGCCCUUCGGCAAUUUUCUUUCUUGACCCAACACCCAAACAGCCAUCAAAUCAACCCAACCAACCGCCGACGACCACCUAUUCCAACCAACACUAUCUUCUUUCUUUCCUUUGUACGGAAAUGGUUUGGUUUGAGGUCAGAAAUGUUAUGUCUAUCCCUAUAAUCACAUAAAUUAAUUAUAUUCAUAACUGCAAAUUAAUCAUCGGAUAUUAUCAAUAAUCAUACUCAUCAGGUAACGGAUUUCUCAUCAGUUAACGCUUAUAUCCAUCUUCAUUGCUACAAAAAAAAUUAAAAAAAAAUUGAUCAAUUGAUACAUUAUAAUUUAGUAAAUAUUAAUUCAGUAAUAAAAUAUUUGAUGUAUAAUAAAAUGAUUUUUGAUCAUGUGGAAUAUAAAAAUUAAAGCUAAACAUUGAUGAUGUCGGCUGAUCUUUGAUAUCUCUUAUAAGUACCAUUGAAUUGUUAUUGAUCUUGAUUCAAAACUUUUGAACUUUUCAACAAAAUGCAACUCACAUAAAAAAUAAAAUAAAUAAUAAAAAAAACAAUGAUCGAAAAAACAUAUUUGGAAGAAGAGAAAAUAUAGUUUAAUUACUAAUAUCUCCACUAAAUAAGGAAAAGUGCAUAAUGCAGAUAAAACGAUAAAUUCAAAAUUUAUUUUAAUUUUAAAAAAUAAAGGUGACUAUUGGUCAAAGCAUUUUAAUCAAAUUUUUAAAAGACACAAAUGUUUAAUCUAAAUGAUAUAGAAAAACUGUAGAAGAUUCUAAGGACAUGUUUACUACUUUACUUGAAUCCAACUUUUUAAACUCAAAAAUAAUUUUCAAGUUUUAGGCCUUAAAAAAUUGUUUGGUAGGCCUUAAAAAAUCAUUUUAGAUUUCUUUGUCUAGUUUAAGUUGUAAGGUUUAAAAUUUUUAAAUCGCAAAUCAAUCAAUUUUUUGAGUCUUAAAGAAAAUUAUUUUUAAAAAAAUAUUUUGAGAAAUGAUAAAAAAAUUUAAAUAGAAAAUUUUCCCUUUUCAAAAAUAGACUAUUCUUAAUAAUAAUAGCUCAUAAAAUUAAAUUUGUCCUCAAAUUUGAUAUGGCAUUUGUGUCAGACAAUGACAGGUGAUGUGUGAUUUCAAAAUUCACAUACUACGUGUUUUUGUGGUUGUUGGAAUUUUAAAAGUAUACUGAAAAUGAUUGAAGCACCAUUCCAACUGCCACUACAAAGCGAGGGCGAUCAACAGAAGAAAUCUAAAUUUUCUUUUUAGUCAACUAACCUUACAGUGGCACCUUGACUCUUCUACCAAUUACUUUUUUAUUUUCUCAACCAACAAAUAUCAAGGCAUCAUGGCAUGCAUAAUGCAACUUUUGUAUUUUCAAGACAAUAAAUUCGGUGAAUAAUGAAUA
rnacentral:lncRNA from 1 species